AGGACGAACGCUGGCGGCGUGCUUAACACAUGCAAGUCGAGCGAGGCCCUUCCUUCGGGAAGGUGCCCUAGCGGCGAACGGGUGAGUAACACGUGGGCAACCUGCCCCUAGCACUGGGAUAACUCCGGGAAACCGGGGCUAAUACCGGAUAUGACCUUCGUGGGCAUCCUCGAAGGUGUAAAGGAUUCUGGCUAGGGAUGGGCCCGCGGCCUAUCAGCUUGUUGGUGGGGUAAAGGCCUACCAAGGCGACGACGGGUAGCCGGCCUGAGAGGGUGACCGGCCACACUGGGACUGAGACACGGCCCAGACUCCUACGGGAGGCAGCAGUGGGGAAUCUUGCACAAUGGGCGAAAGCCUGAUGCAGCGACGCCGCGUGAGGGAUGACGGCCUUCGGGUUGUAAACCUCUUUCAGCAGGGACGAAGCGAAGUGACGGUACCUGCAGAGAAGCACCGGCCAACUACGUGCCAGCAGCCGC
rnacentral:rRNA from 1 species